ACUCCUACGGGAGGCAGCAGUGGGAAUAUUGCACAAUGGGCGCAAGCCUGAUGCAGCCAUGCCGCGUGUAUGAAGAAGGCCUUCGGGUUGUAAAGUACUUUCAGCAGUGAGGAAGGUGGGUAUGUUAAUAGCAUACUCAUUUUGACGUUAGCUGCAGAAGAAGCACCGGCUAACUCCGUGCCAGCAGCCGCGGUAAUACGGAGGGUGCGAGCGUUAAUCGGAAUUACUGGGCGUAAAGCGCGUGUAGGUGGCUUGUUAAGCCAGAUGUGAAAGCCCCGGCUC
rnacentral:rRNA from 1 species